rnacentral:rRNA from 1 species
CAGGCCUAACACAUGCAAGUCGAACGAGAUCCUUUGGGGUCUAGUGGCGCACGGGUGCGUAACGCGUGGGAAUCUGCCCUUGGGUUCGGAAUAACAGUGGGAAACUACUGCUAAUACCGGAUGAUGACGUUAAGUCCAAAGAUUUAUCGCCCAGGGAUGAGCCCGCGUAGGAUUAGCUAGUUGGUGGGGUAAAGGCCUACCAAGGCGACGAUCCUUAGCUGGUCUGAGAGGAUGAUCAGCCACACUGGGACUGAGACACGGCCCAGACUCCUACGGGAGGCAGCAGUGGGGAAUAUUGGACAAUGGGCGAAAGCCUGAUCCAGCAAUGCCGCGUGAGUGAUGAAGGCCCUAGGGUUGUAAAGCUCUUUUACCCGGGAUGAUAAUGACAGUACCGGGAGAAUAAGCUCCGGCUAACUCCGUGCCAGCAGCCGCGGUAAU